UACGUAGGUGGCAAGCGUUGUCCGGAUUUACUGGGCGUAAAGAGCUCAUAGGCGGCUUGUCGCGUCGGAUGUGAAAGCCCGGGGCUUAACUCCGGGUCUGCAUUCGAUACGGGCAGGCUAGAGUUCGGUAGGGGAGAUCGGAAUUCCUGGUGUAGCGGUGAAAUGCGCAGAUAUCAGGAGGAACACCGGUGGCGAAGGCGGAUCUCUGGGCCGAUACUGACGCUGAGGAGCGAAAGCGUGGGGAGCGAACAGG
rnacentral:rRNA from 1 species